rnacentral:rRNA from 1 species
UACGUAGGUGGCAAGCGUUGUCCGGAUUUACUGGGCGUAAAGAGCGCGCAGGCGGUCGUUCAAGUCGCGUGUGAAAGCCCCCGGCUCAACUGGGGAGGGUCACGCGAUACUGAUCGACUCGAAGGCAGGAGAGGGAAGUGGAAUUCCCGGUGUAGUGGUGAAAUGCGUAGAUAUCAAGUGGAACACCAGUGGCGAAGGCGAGUCCCUGGACAACUCCUGACACUGAGGCACGAAAGCUAGGGGGAGCAAACAGG